rnacentral:rRNA from 1 species
GUGGGGAAUAUUGGACAAUGGGCGCAAGCCUGAUCCAGCAAUGCCGCGUGGGUGAAGAAGGCCUUUUGGUUGUAAAGCACUUUAAGCGAGGAGGAGGCUACCGAGAUUAAUACUCUUGGAUAGUGGACGUUACUCGCAGAAUAAGCACCGGCUAACUCUGUGCCAGCAGCCGCGGUAAUACAGAGGGUGCAAGCGUUAAUCGGAUUUACUGGGCGUAAAGCGCGCGUAGGUGGCCAAUUAAGUCAAAUGUGAAAUCCCCGAGCUUAACUUGGGAAUUGCAUUCGAUACUGGUUGGCUAGAGUAUGGGAGAGGAUGGUAGAAUUCCAGGUGUAGCGGUGAAAUGCGUAGAGAUCUGGAGGAAUACCGAUGGCGAAGGCAGCCAUCUGGCCUAAUACUGACACUGAGGUGCGAAAGCAUGGGGAGCAAACAGGAUUAGAUACCCCGGUAGUCC